CAGCUUCCCAUUUCCUCAGUUCUGAGGUCACUUUUAAAGGGCGUUUUCACCUCCCUUUUGUUACCUGAACAAUAAGUAACCCAGGUAGUUAGUUAUAAACUCAAAGGGAACAAGAGGCUGGUUGAUAAUUUAUAGCAACAUCUCAAAUUUAAAUGGAAAGUAAAUAUCAAGUUGUUAGCAUUAAAGAAAACCCAUUCCAGAGAGCUGGGGAUGUAACAUUCAGGGGACCUUCUCUCUUUGUUCUUCCUGGGUUUUCUUCCCAAACUCUCUCUAUUCUUUUCCUUCUCAUCUCUCUCCUCCUCAUUUUCCAGGUUGUUUUCUUUCCAUUCCUUCCUUCCCCUGUUCUCUACCAUCUCCCAGGGCAAUGUGUUUUGUUUCGCUUUUUUUUUCCAGAUUCCCUUUAUUGGCAGAAAAAGCCCUAAGUUCUUGGAGUUAGGUUUUGACCUUCUCCUUCUUUGAGCUGGGACUUAGUUAAAGGUGUGUUUAGAGGUUUGAAAUGCUUGGGGCAAUCUCUCUGGCGCUUUCCUUUGGAGGCUACUAGAAACCUAUCACUGAUGUCAAUGCACAGACUGGACCUGGGAUGGCCAGAGAGCAGGGAAGUUUCUACUAGAGGACCCGCUGCUGCUGCUGCUGUUGCUGUCCUCUGUUCCACUUGUUUGUUCCAUAUGCUCAUGCACCUGGUAGCCAGGCAGGGUGGUGGAGAGCUGCUCCCACAGCUCCCUCCAGGAUGAAGCUUCCCUGUGCUCUAAGAAGAAAAGUACCAGCUGAUACUGGCCCCUUUGCAACCUCUAGACAUGGAAACUGCUACAAUUACUGUAGCCAAAGGCCAGUCAGAGCCAGCAGAUUCCAGAGACUAGGAAACAAAAGAUUAACAUCUAUUAAUUUUAGGAACAUCACAGAUGCUGGAGCUGGACAUGGGUGUAGUGAAGUUGAGGAGAACAGGCAUUUUAAUUCUCUGGAGAACACUUCACACUCACAACUGGAAACCUCAAGGAAAAUAACUGAAGCCCAAAUGAACAUUUAAAUUUAGUUGGGAGCAAGUGCUGCAAAGUACAAUAAAAGGCCUUUGAUGGGCUGACUACCAUCAGCAGGGUAACUACUCCACAUGAAGCUGCUCUGGCCAGCAUUCUCCAUUGCUGAGGAGUCGGAACUGGAUUUUGCUAGAGUGACAUCUGACUUUGUAGGAGGAGGGGGUAUAGAUUUUGUGCUGUCAGUGGUGUCAUCUGAUUCUUCAUCAUUGUUGCCUUACUCUGCUAAGGGAAUUAUGUAUCUAACCAGAGAUUAAAACAGACCUUAUUUUGUUGGCUGACAGUACAGAGAUUUCUCUAACAGGUCUAAGCAAUGCAGCAGUCUAUGCUCAAGAUACAGGACAUCAUAUCUCAACUGAAAGGACUCUGUGAUAUCAUAUUAUGUCACCAUUGACACCUUGGAGUAAAGUUCACCUCUUGCAGAUCUGAGGAGGUUCUGCGAGAGAGGUGUAUGACAUGAGUAUCAUCUGAGGCAUUCAAGCUGUCUUUUCCCAUUCAGAGGACUAAGAGCAAGUGCUGGAUUUGAAGAAAGGAUAGUGUGUGAUGCUAGAGCAUUCCUGCAGAAUCCUCAUUUACUAGUCUACCUCAUCAGGUAAAAUUGUUUGGUUAUCAAACUCCCAUACUCAGUAUCUUGCCAAGCUGAACAAUCAGGAUCCAUUUGCCCUUGGCCAGUGGGAACAUUGCCAUUUUGUGGGCACAAUUGUUAUUUUUCAUCCCACACCAUGAAGAUUCCAGAAAAAUAAUCUGAAUACUGGAAAUUGAUUGAUGUAUCGGUUUAUCCUCCCCUCUAAUGAUGGAAAAGAGGAAGGUUUUGCUUUACUUGGGUUUAAAACACAUUACAAAUAAAAUGUUGCGUACUGAUGCAAGUGACAGAGGAAACUGCUGUCAGUGAAUCGGGAAGUUCUAAUUUCAUCACAGUUUGAUAGUUUCAGUUCUGGUUAUUAGUAAAUUCUUGCUUAGAAUUAAAUUGUUUUGUUUGGAACCUAAACUUCCGCGUGAGAGGUCUCAUCAUCAUCUGGAUUUUUUUUCCAGUCAGGUCUUGGGUUCCCAUUAAAUCAUUUAAUUGGACAACAAGGUCCGUUUUCUGAGCUUUGGAAAAUGACCUUCCUCUCUAUCUCUGCUUCCCAUGUACUCCAUUUGCCUUAUCACAAUUGCCAGAAAGUUUCAGAUAUUGUGGGCCUGUGCGGGGAGGGAGCAAGAGAAGAGCAGAUAAAAGUGUUGCAAUAAUAGGGGGUAUCCCCCAUUAAAACAUCUGUGGCUUGACCACUUUGUAGGCUGUUCCUUCUUUUCAGUCAAGAAUACAGAGUGCACAGUCAUUUUGGAGAUGCACUCUAUGCCAAGUGCUUAACAUGAGCAUUAACUCUUGUGUUUGCAUCCCAACCUUUUCUUGGACAGGUGCACAGAAGCACAGUAAGUCCCUGGUAUUGCUGCUGUUUUGGGGCACUAAUAAAUGUCUUUGCUGUCUGACUCUAACAGGGACUAGAGCCUGUAUCCUUCAUGAUUCUUCUCUGAGGGCUCAUACUGAAUACAAGUUUGCUUGGUUUUGCUUCAGGUAGUUCUAUUUCAUAUGGUAUAGCACAAAACCAUGUUUGCACAGAUUUUAGCAGCCAGGUAAGCACAUACUGCUUUGAAUAGUCAUUCCAUGACUCUUCCUCCCCACUUGGCUUGGAAAGAGCUAGUAGCUACAGAAGCUGAGGUGUAGCAGCAGCUCAGGGUGGAUGAGCUUCAUGCAGGAAGUCUGAAGGGAAGGGAAGAGGAAGAGGAAGACAAUGGACUUAUGUCAUCAGCUCUGAUCCAUCUUUUAAACUGUUCACAGUACAUGGAUAGGUGGUGCUUUAGAUAUAAAGACAGUAGGGAGAAGGAGGAACUUUCAUAUGCAUCUGAAGUGUUUAUUAAUGAGCGUUGCUUUUAAGUACAUAACUUUCCUAAGUGCUCUGUUGUCCUCCUCCUGAGAGAGACAAAUAUACAAAUACUGAACUCUGAUGUAAGACUUUCGUUCUUCCAUCUGUUUAAUGCUGUUGUGAAGUAGGAAUAUGUUAUUCUAAUUUUACUGAGAGUGAAACAGAACCUCAGACAGGUACUAUCAUCCUUUCAUGGUCACAAAGAGAGCCAGUAACAGAACAUGGAAGAGGACCCUGGAGUUCCUGAUUCUCAGUGCUGUUCCCUAUCUAUAAAGCAGUCCCUGAAACAAGCUUUUUCUGUUUCAGUACAAUAAGACUAACAUGUUUCCAGGUCCUGAACUCUAUCUGGUCACAACACAAAUACACAACCUGGUUUCUGCUGUUACUUGCCCACUGUAGAGACUGGAAGAGUAUUCGGAUACAUUAUAAAUCUCCACUGUCCUAGUAAGACAAAUACAAUGUGUACCAUUAUUAUAUUUGUAAGCAGAAACUCCACAUAUACCUGAAACAAAUAUCAGGCCACUAUAUUAUUGCCUGUCUUCAGUUAGAACUAGCUUCUUACUAUUUGUCAUGCUAAAGGAAAUUGCAAAUAAUGCAAAGCUGCUCUGGUGUUUAGGGCUCUAAACAGCAAAUCCUUACUCAAAUGUGUUAUUACAACAUAACCAGAAGUAAGGAUUACUUGAGUAAACAAAGCUUGUGGGGUCAUGCACCAAAUUCGUAUUUGGCCAACUACAACUACUGCCAGAAUUCAGAAUCAGAAAAAACAGAAGAGAAACAGAAGAGGGAAGAGACAAGAUUAGGAUCAGCAGCUGCCAAGUCUUCCUACUGACAGUCAACUGGAUUCAAUGUGUUUAGUAUUAGUGAAACACACGUUUUUAAUUUAAUCUCAACAAUUUUGGACAUCUUGAAAGUUCUUUGCCUGCUGCAAACCUUUCUAAAACAAUUCUGAGCUUUUGGGAUCUGAAUGAAUGGACUCUCCUUUCUUUGUUUAAAAAGCAAUGAAGUCAAGGAUGCAUCCAGCUGUGUUUUUUCUCUGCAAUCCACCAGGGAAUUUAAUUAAAGGAGAAUUUUAGAACCUAA